CUAACCCAGAGCUUGGCCCUGGCAGGCACUCGGCACGUGUUAGUUCCUAUUGCUGCUGCUGUUGGCCGGACCUGUCCUGCUGGUGACAACUAGGCAGAAAUCUUGACUGAUCUUCCCUGUGACUUGAUUUUGGAUCUUGGCAUCCCGACUGGCUCUAGAACGACCUACACAUCAGAGAAAUUCACACAGCUUCUGACUCCCAGAAGAUUUCAAUCCUAACAGCUGCCUCUCCUGUCUGUGUCCCUGGUACCUCCCUUGGAGACCAAACACCACUUUCAACAUCACCUGAUAAUUCUUUUUCCAUUCUAUAUAUGUAUAUACAUACACACACACACACACACACACACACACACUCACGCAUGCACUUUUUUUUUUAAUCACCUAGUUAAACAGUUAAUGUUUCAGUAAGAAGAGCAUGACAUUGGUUGACAGGACUAGGCUUCUUGGUAUAUGAAACAGAGAGAAGAGCGAGGCCUCUAAGAGAUGAUGUGUGGAACUUCAGCGUCCUUAGCCCCAUCAGCGUGUGGGUACAAUGAACUGACAUUUUCAUUAAUAACAUACUUUCCUCUAACUUCUGGCCCCCACUUGUCAAUCUUGGAAUAUGUUUCUUACCUUUCACUUCCUGCUCUCCUCCAUUUCCCUCUCUUUCCAUAUUUCCUCCAGUCGUCCUGACAAACAGCAGCACCAGCAACCACCAAAUAAGACACCCAUUUGUGCAAACAGACCGGGGUGGGGUAGUCACCCAUCUCCUGCUAGUUAGAUGAAAAGAGAUUUGGGGAUCCCAUUUAGGUUCUCUUAUGGAAAGUGUGGGAUUGCAUCCGUGGGUCACUUGUACAUUUCGAAGCCAUUUAAAAGGUGGAAAGGAAAGAGACUGAAGACAAAUGUGGCCCCUUCCCCAGCUUGGCCUUGGCUCUAAGUUUUUUUGUCAUUGUGAAACCAAGGUUUCCUUAAGUGUUCUUAACAAAUAAAGGUGGCUGUCCUGUUCACUCAGGCUGCUUAAUAGAAUACCAUAGAUUGGGUGACUUGAAAACGACAAACAUUUACUUCUCACUGUUCUGGAGGCUGAGAAGUCCAAAGUUCAGGCACUGGCAGAUCUGUGUCUGGUGAGAACCCACCUCCUGGUUCAUAGACUGCCAUCUUGCUGUCUUCUCACAUGGCAGAAGGAACGAGGGAGUUCUCUGGGGUCUCUUAUAAGGACACUAAUCCCAUCAUGAAGUCUCUACCCUCAUGACCUAAGCACCUCCCAAAGGCCCCACCUCAAACACCAUCACAUAGAAUUCAACACAUGAAUUUGGGGGGACACAUCCCGUCUACAGCUGUGGCAGACUCCUCUGUUAAGCAGUGGGUUGGGUAUAGACAUGGAGAACUCAGAACUUUUUUGUUUUCAGUUAAAAAUGGACUCUUUUUAAAGUUGCCUAUAUUGAACAGAGCUGAAAUUCCUUGAGUAGGAAGAAUAAUGUAAAGUUAGGGAGCUAAUCCAAGACAAAGGAAAGAAACCAUGAGUUCACUUGCAUUUGGGCUGUCAACUGGGCUCCUGACCAAUAUGGUUUCUUCCCUCCCUCCUUUGCACACCUCCUCAGAUCACCCCAUGGCCCCUCAGCAGCGUAUAAGCCCUCAUGCUAGGCAUCAUCAUCUUUUAUUAACUUGUCCGUCUCUCCUUCUGGGUUCUGCAGUUGCUGGAGGGAAGGGAUUUUUGUCUUUUAUCUCAGUAUCACCAAUUCCUAGCAGAUUCUUAGUUCCAAAAGGCCAGAAAAUCCAUUUUGUUAUUUUCAGUACCCCCUGCUCAGACUCUAAUAAAUAUUGGUUACAGGAUUAAAUAAAUUAACCAGCAAAUUGCAGGCACUGAAUAAGUAUUUGUUCAGUUAAUGAAUUGUACACGGAAAUUAAAUCUUAUUUUUAUGCACUUGGGGAGUUAACUAUCUUGGGAAACAUAAAAUACGUACUGUGUAAAGAGAUUACCUUAACUAUUACCUAGUUCUGUCUUUAGGUUUUUCUGAUUAUACAGGUGAUGCACGUUCUUUGAAGAAAAUCUGGAAAACACAGCAGAAAAUAAAAAUGAAAUUAUGAACUGUUAAUAUAGUCCCACUCAUACGGCAUAUGCAAUUUUUAUCUGCUUUUUACUUAAUCAUGAAUAUUUUCCCAUAUCAUUAAAUCUUUUUGGUUAACAUCCUUUUUAAUGGCAAUGCAAUAUU